UUCUUAUCUAGAGAGGUAUAGGGACUGGCCCGAUGACACCUCAGCAACCGCCAUUUUAUGGCAUGGUGCUAAUUCCAGCAAGUUGAUAACACGACUUGGUAGAUGAGGA
rnacentral:ncRNA from 1 species